AUUGAACGCUGGCGGCAGGCUUAACACAUGCAAGUCGAGCGGAGAUGAGGUGCUUGCACCUUAUCUUAGCGGCGGACGGGUGAGUAAUGCUUAGGAAUCUGCCUAUUAGUGGGGGACAACAUUCCGAAAGGAAUGCUAAUACCGCAUACGUCCUACGGGAGAAAGCAGGGGAUCUUCGGACCUUGCGAUAAUAGAUGAGCCUAAGUCGGAUUAGCUAGUUGGUGGGGUAAAGGCCUACCAAGGCGACGAUCUGUAGCGGGUCUGAGAGGAUGAUCCGCCACACUGGGACUGAGACACGGCCCAGACUCCUACGGGAGGCAGCAGUGGGGAAUAUUGGACAAUGGGGGAAACCCUGAUCCAGCCAUGCCGCGUGUGUGAAGAAGGCCUUAUGGUUGUAAAGCACUUUAAGCGAGGAGGAGGCUACUGAGACUAAUACUCUUGGAUAGUGGACGUUACUCGCAGAAUAAGCACCGGCUAACUCUGUGCCAGCAGCCGCAGUAA
rnacentral:rRNA from 1 species